rnacentral:rRNA from 1 species
CGGAACACGUACACAACCUUCCUUUAAGUGGGGAAUAGCCCAGAGAAAUUUGGAUUAAUACCCCGUAACAUUAUGAUGUGGCAUCACAUUAUAAUUAAAGCUCAGGCGCUUAAUGAUGGGUGUGCGGCUGAUUAGAUAGUUGGCGGGGUAACGGCCCACCAAGUCUACGAUCAGUAACUGGUGUGAGAGCACGACCAGUCACACGGGCACUGAGACACGGGCCCG